AACAACAAAAAAACCCAACCCAAACAAACAAAAAAACCCAACAAAAAAACCAACCCAACCCCCCCUAAAUACUCUUUUUAAAGUCAGAGCUCUUGUGAAUAUAACUUUUGGCUUGCUACCAUUUUUACAGUAAUUUAUUAGCCGGUGGCUGUAAUUUCACAAACCCAAAUAACAGCCGUGUUAUUCCUCUGUCCGUGGAAAAUUAAAGAUCGGCUGCUAUAAAGAUGUGUUGCGAUUUAAGCCCUUCUGAGUGCCAAACCUAACACCUAAGAAAAAAAAAAAAUCAACCCCAGCCUUGUUUUACAAUAACUACAUCGCAUUUUUGUUCUGUCUUUCACUCGGCUCGGUUCUACUUGGAGCUUUUUCAUUAAGGAGGGUGAGGAGCAGUGUGUCCUGCUUCCCGUUCUCUGCCGUGGCCCGGAUUCUGUCCGUCAGCCGGGAAACGUGCUCACAGAGAAAAUCUGUCUCCAGCAGCUUCUCCUCCUUCUGCACCAGCUCCACCUCCAGCUGCAGCGAGAAGGAUGCAGGGCGGAGGUAAAUGGCAGGGGAAGGUGCAACACACUAAAUACAGUGGGGGGAGUUUUGUGCCCCUAUAAAUGGGACAGACAAAAAUAUCUAAGAAAAUCCCACGGCUGCUCAUUCCAUUCCUUUACCUUCCCUACGUAUGUGCCCUGAAAUUGGCUUUAUAUCGGACCUCAGGCUUCCCUUUGAAGCCUCCCCCGGCAGUCGGUGGUGGUGCUGCAGUCAGGGCUGCAGCGGCUCACCCGGCCUGGCCCCCUCUUCGAUGAAGACCUGCUCGGUGGCUCCCUGUUGGGCACGGACACAAAGCAGCGCCACCAAAGCCUGAGAAGGAUGUUUGCUGGAUCCCAUGUCACACACACAGACUUUAAGAGGGUAGUGGGACUGCCUCCAGCUCUCAGCCUGAGCAUUGUGGUGGAACAGCUAAUGGCCAGUUGCAGAAGAAUGACAGGGUGGUUCACUAGCUGUUUAUUAUUUUGCAGUUAUUUUCUUCUGCUGUCUCUUCCAUGCCUUCCUGUGGUGAGGUGGGAGGGUCUCCACUGAAGUGCCAGUGGUGCGGAUGGACCAGCUAGCAGAUGAUGCUGCAGAGCCAGGUCCAGUGCACGGAGCUCCCCCUCUCCAGCCUCUGCUGGAAGAAGUCAAAAUGUCCUACAUCCAGUUGUCAUGGAAAGCAGGUGCUGGGCUGGAGUUCCCAUUAGCCAAUCAUAAUUUUUUUAAUUCCUUUUACAGGAAAGGUUUUUUUUUUUUUUUAAAAGAAAAGAUACAAUUUGGUUUUUCUAAAAGAGGUCAAUCGUAGGGGGAGAGCUUGUGAUGUCAUAAGUGAUGUUACCUGCUCAAUCUUCUUUAGCAGCUCAGGUGCAGAUGGGUCCUUCCCUCCCAGAUCUCGCUUUCUACUCUCAUUCGCGGGGUCAGCAAAGAUUUCCUCCAUCCGUUUAAUCCUGUCCUUGCACUGGGAAUACUAGCAAACAAAAAGCCACAGGUUAUUUUUUCAGACAAGGAGCCAAAAGCCCCAUUAUUACUCCAUGACCAGAGAUGGAAGGUCUCCGUGUGUCUGACUUACGCCAGCAGAAGUGCACUAAAGCGGUGGAGCUGCCUGCGCGGCCAGUUGCACUUGGAACCAAGACUCCAGCCUUGCUGGGAGACGUUUGUGAUGCUUUACAAUGUAGGACUAAGCAAAAUGAUACUGGUCAAACCCUGGGAAACGUUUCCCUACAAAACCAGAGGUGGACGUACAUCGUUCUCCUGUCCUGCUAAUCAAUGGGAAUUUGAAAACCAGUAGAUUGUGUCACAGGUCAUCCCUAUAAUGCACAAAUACAAACCAGAUUCACCUUAUUAAUGGUUUAAAUGUCUCGAAUGCUUCUUCCCUCGACUCCUUCACGUGCAACACAACCACCUGAAACUGUAGAAAUAAUUCAGCCACACAGAAGAGGCUUCUCUGAGCCACCAGGUAUCACAAGAGCUCUGGACUGGAAGAUGAUUUCCACCUUCUGAACAUGUUUGGGAACUACAAUGUGACAGUUGCAGGACAGAGGAAAACCCUGCCGUCUGCCAGAAAUUGAGUUCCACCUGCUGCUUUGUCCUCAGGCUACUUGAGGUGGGGGGGAUCUUCCUUUAUUCCCUACAAUAUUCUGUUUGACCCAGAGAAUCCAUUUAGGGAUGUAGGAAGGACACAAGUGCCAUACAGUUUGGUUGCAAGUCUGAAAGUCCCACUUCCCUGCUGAUUAGCUCUAAAGGUCUCAUCCCCACAGGCAUCCAGGUUUUCCAUGUUGAAGUUCCCAGGCUCAUGUCCUGAAGUGACUCGGUGGUGACGCUGAGCGAUGUGGUAUUCCCGGGACCCAGAGAGGCAGGUGUUCCCUGACCUUUCUGGUGUGAGAUGUUCCCAUGGAAUGCCGCUUCCCGGAACACACUGGAUGGACACGCGUGCUUCGCAUAAACACUCGCUGAAGGAGUGACUGGGACCGUUUAUGUUUGGACUUGCAGGACUGACCGCGGUGGGGUUUUGCGCGUUGAUAUGCACCUGGACAUCUGUCAGCGCAUUGUCACUCCAACCUUGAUCUAUUCGCUCUAGCAUAACAUGACCCAGGUAAAUUGCUAUAAAUGCUAUGCAUCAAUUUCAGGCGAUGAUAUUAUUAAGGAAAUAAGUGUUCACUGGCUCUUAAAGUUAUGAGCAGUCAGCGAAAAGACAACGUAAAUGUUUAGUUGUUGCUACAGGACGGGGUUUGUUCACAGGAAGUUAACAAAGUCAUGUUUAACUGGAAAAGGGAAAACUGACAGAUCUUCUCGGGUGAUUAUGGAACGUUACGAGAAUGCUUGUCUUAAACACUUUUCCUGGUAAAAGAAGUGUUGUGCAGCUCUUUUUUUCCACGCUUUGAGAGUGGGCAAAGUAAAAACCUUAAAUAACCGUAAUGAACAAUUUCUUUGUCAAAUCGUGAUUUGGUUUAAAACGAAUGCCAUUCAGUGCACAACUAGGUACUGAAAGAUUUAUUUUAAUUGUAAAUGACUAAAACUCCAGACCACUAAUACACAGAGCGGAAGAACGAGCGGGACCGGCACAAACAACAGGAUGCAGGUAUGCUUCCAGUGAGGUUUCAUAGCUGGGACCAAAUUUCUCAACCACGAACUCAGCAAAAAUGCCUUGUUGGAGGCAGUGGUGCCUUAAGGAGAUUAAGGACAGUUCAUCAGGUAAAAUUUUUCAAGAUUGAAUAGUUAAUUUAGAGAAGAAGGACUAUUGCAGCAAAACCACUGGCCAAACCAGAAAAAAAUCCGUAAAAAUUUGCAUGUUAAACUUAAAUACUAGGCUUACUUUUAAAUGCCAUAUGAAUUGAGAGUGAUUGGAUGCAGACUAAUCCAAAAGUAUGGAAAACAAAGCACGUUUAGAAAUAAGCAUGCUAUUCUGUGUCUGCUUAAGUGAUGUGACUAUAGGCAUCUUUCUUUGUUUUCUCCUCAUUUGUAGUGUUUUCUGUGGACAAGACUGAGUUCCAAGAGGUUCUAAGUCUUAAAGCCAAAAAAAAAUCCCUCCUUUCUUGGAGUGGAUUUGAUACAGGGGAUAGGAAAAGGCUCUACAAAAGAGGCUUUUCUCCCUUUGAUUGUAAACACUCAGGAGGAAUUGUUGAAGGACGAAGAAAUGAGAGGGAACGCAUACCUAGAUAAAGGGAUUGGUCUGAAAAAGUGGAGAUCUGGUGCUUAUUUUCGAAAUUUCAGAGAAGGCAGGUGAGGUACACAGAGCACUAGAAAAGGGCCAAUAUCAUACUUAUUUUUAAAAAUGGGUCGAAAAGGAGCUAUGGAGCUAUAAAUAACUCUUCAGCUUCUGUAGAAUAAAUCUUGAACAAAUCAUAACUACCAAAGAAAAAGGGUAUGAAUAACAGCCAACACGGGUGUGUUGAGUCAUGCCAAAACAGAUCAAUUUCUUGCCACGAUAAUUUAACAGGUGUAGGAAUGACAAGUGGUAGGCAUCACGCAUCUUGAUAUUUACAUGGCUUUGAUAUUUUUUCAUAUAACAUUCUUAGAAACAAGCCAAGGAAAUGGGGUCUUGAUGAAAAUAUAAGGCAAGUACUACAUAAGUAGAAUGAGGUUAAGUAGUAGUACUUAUGUAGUACUACAUAAGUAGAAUGAGGUUGAAGAUUCAAAUUCAAAAUUACCUUGGUCUGAAGAAAGAUCUGAACAAAAGAGAGAAUAUUAAAUACCAAAUGCAAGGUGCUACAUGUAGGCAGAGAAAAUUACCUGUGCAAAUACAGAAUCAAGGUCAACUGAUUAGCUAUCAUUUCUUUAAAAAAGGGUCUGGUGGUUACGUACGCUUCCAUGAACACGAAUCAAUAUGUCAUCUUGCAGGAAAGGCUACCAUCGUAUCUGGACACGUAAACAGAAAUAUAACCUGCAAGAUGCCUGAAUGAAUCCUUUCACUCUCACCCCCUGAUGUUAGGCACUGCACCUCAAGAAAAAUAAAGACCACGUUGCCCAAAAUAAAAGAAAGGCAAAAAAAGAAUGAUCAGAGAAAGAUCUGUAAGGGCUGAUGGGGAAAAAAAACAGGGUUGUGUAGCUUAGCAAAAGGAUGGGAGACAAACGGGGUUAACUUUCUUCCAGUAACAUGAAAUGUUGUUGCAGGGAGAAAGAGAAUGACCUAUUCGUCACAUCCCUGGUGGACAGAAUACACAUCAACAGGCUUAUGUUGCAGCAAGAAAUAUCCAGGCUAACAGUUAAGAAAAAUCUUUCCCUGUUAAGGAAGGAUUGGGAUGGCUUGCUGGAGAAACUGGAGUUUCCCAUUGGCGGUCUGAAAGCAUCGCAUAGCCUCUCAGGAAUGAUGGGCAAUCCGAUGCUGGAGCAGGAGCAGCAUUGCCCACAUAAACUCUUUCUCUUAACAGCCCCAUUUUUCUAUGACUGGAUGAUGUAGUCUGGAGAUUUUCAUGGGGUGGUAUUAAAACCUGGAUAAAUGUUGAUGCCAAAUGCCACAAUGAAACUUUGGCCCCUGUUGCGUUGGUUAAACUUUGAGGCAUGAAAGUCUCAUCUACACCGUCGUGACAGCUCAGCAGGUCUACGUGUUGGACUAAUUAAUGAUUAACGCUAAGUAUUUCUCAUUGAUGCAUGAAGGCAGAUUUGUUUUCAUGGGUCAUUUCAAUCAGCAGGAAACAGUCCCUUGAUGUGCACUCCCAAUUAAAAAUUACACAGGGAAAACCACUUCAGAAUCUCACCAGGUAUUUUUUGUGUCAGAUGAAGGAAGUACAGGUGUAUGGGAGACACAGGCGAAAUUUUUGUUCUUCCUGAAUUGUCGCACAGCCCUGACCUGGGCUUUUCCCCUUCCCAGUGGGUAUCACAGCCACUGAGGUAGGGGCUCGGUUUCUGCAGCCUAUUGAACGCAAUGUACCCAUUCAUCCAUCUAUUCCAAGAGGUGUGUCUCUAACAGAAAUAGAUAUCCCAUCCCAGAACAGCUAAUUUAACGAUGAUCAAAGAAUCUGUUGAAAAUAGGUGAGACUUAGAUUCAAACAGUGUCUCUAAAAAAGUCAAAAGACCUCAGUCAAAUGCAAUCAACAAAUACUGAAACUUUUUCUAUUUUGUGAGACCAGAUCUUGUUUUCCUUUCAGAUUGCUCUCUCUAUAUUUCAAGUAUUACCAGUGGCGGAUAUCUGUUGUUGGAAAAUCGUUCAGGAUUCAGUACGGGAAAGUUUAAUUCACCUGUGGAGGGAGGAAAGGCAAAAAAGUUCUGGGGUAAUGGGAAGGUUGGGAAAUGCAAGAGAGGAGAAAAACAGGACAGAUAGAUAAGAAUAAGAUGACCAAGACUGGAAAAUACGCAAGACUUAGGGAGACAGGGACGGUAGGAAAAAGGGAAGAACUGCGUUAAUAGUUGGUAACCACAGUACCUAGUUACAUUUUAAAGGCUGAUAACCGGGUAUUUGACAUUGUUCACUGGAACAUCUCUGACUUGGGAAUAUUUAUUAAGAGUACUCCAUGUGUAAUAUCACACCACUCUGUAUUUUCAUACUUUUUAAUUUUAUGCCAUUAUUACAAAAAGAUUUAAAGCACCUGAAGCAGUAGCUUCCCUUUAAUGGUGACUUCAGGCUUCACAUGGACCAUCAUCACAAAGGAGAAAGCUUUAGUAAUGCAGAACAGAAAAAUCUGUCAGUUCACAAGAAUCAUCUGCAUUUGGUUACUGUAUUUGACUCAGUGACUUUGUCUCAUUCCAAAUCUUACCUGAAAACAUCUCUUUUUUUUUUUUUUUUUUGUCUAUCAUCUUUUUUUCAUACUCCUUCUGAUCAUUGUUUAAAUCUGUAAUGCCACAGUAAAGUUCUUCAGGGUACAAUUUGCGUAAGGUAUUGUACAACGUUUUAUUUUUUUAGCAGAGCGUACGGGUUCUUUAAAACACCAGAAGUUAGAGAAAAGCGCAAGUGCUAUUUAACAGUGAGUCACAGCUCCCAUCAAUGCAAUUAAUUUAUGAUUUUGUGCAGACACUAACAGAAUAUGUAUGGAAAAAAUUGCCAUCUGGAGAUAAGGUCAAAAGUAAAUGAGCCAUUUCAGAAAGCAAGGAAAGAAUGUCCCGAACAAUGAUGAACACUGCAGUUUGUUAGUUGUUUAAUGUCAUGUUGUAACUAGAACUAAAACUUACACUGUUUUUGUGUGGAAGAAAAUAUAUGGGGAUUAUAUCAUUGUAGGCAGCAGAGUUUCCAGAGUAGGCUCAGGGUCAAGUGUGAAUUGAGUUAUUAUUUUAGAAAUUUGAAGAGCUAAGUAUAUCUCCCACCCCUCCACCUACCCCCAUCAAUACAGUUUCACCACAUUUUAUCUACAUUCCCUUUUUUUUCCCCAUGACUCCCAUUCUCCAGCUUAGUCAUACUGACAUUUCAGGCUGCGGGGAGGGUUAGCUGAGAUUCCAUGCCCAGGAAGCGUUUGGCAUGUGCAUAACGAAGUGUAUCAGCCAGUUACACAAAAGUGUAGAAACUCACGUAUCUGAAGUUACAAACGUGCAUCAGUGCUUUGCUAGACAGGAGUAUUACUGAACUUUCUGUUUUAAUAAACCUUGUACAUGAAGACCUUUUUUUUUUUUUUUCUACAAAAUUACCUUAAGGUUUAAAAUACAGUAUAAUACAAACGAAAAAAGGGCUUGUUUUCCCACCAACC